CUCCAUGGUCGUUCGGAAGCAUGAUGACUGGGUUCACGCUCCUCUGUAGGCCGGGCCUCCCUCAGACCUUGUUACGAUGUCAGCACAUUACCCGGGUGACG